rnacentral:rRNA from 1 species
AACGCUGGCGGCGUGCCUAAUACAUGCAAGUCGAACGGCUUUCAUGGAAGCUUGCUUCCACUGAGAAGAUAGUGGCGAAACGGGUGAGUAACACGUGGGUAACCUGCCCAUAAGAGGGGGAUAACAUCCGGAAACGGGUGCUAAUACCGCAUAGUUUACUUGAUCGCAUGAUUGAGAAAGGAAAGAUGGCCUUUGUGCUGUCGCUUAUGGAUGGACCCGCGGCGUAUUAGUUAGUUGGUGAGGUAACGGCUCACCAAGACGAUGAUACGUAGCCGACCUGAGAGGGUGAUCGGCCACAUUGGGACUGAGACACGGCCCAAACUCCUACGGGAGGCAGCAGUAGGGAAUCUUCCGCAAUGGACGAAAGUCUGACGGAGCAACGCCGCGUGAGUGAAGAAAAGGUUUUCGGAUCGUAAAACUCUGUUGUCAGAGAAGAACAAGUUGGAGAGUAACUGCUCCAGCCUUGACCGGUAUCUGACCAGAAGCCACGGCUAACUACGUGCCAGCCGCGGC